GCCCCCAACCAGCGGCGGCGGCAGCGAAGGAGUUCGGAAGUUCAAAAUGGCCGCCGCGGCCGAGCCUGAGCAGCGACCGCCCGAGGUUGAGGAUGCUGAGGUGUCCGAGAAAAGUGUGAAUGAAGAAAAUGGGGAAGUGUCAGAGGCAGACCAACCUCAGAACAAGCACAGCCGACACAAAAAAAAGAAACACAAACACCGAAGUAAACACAAGAAACAUAAACAUUCUUCAGAAGAUGAUAAGGACAAAAAACAUAAACACAGACACAAACAUAAGAAACAUAAAUGGAAAGAGGUGGCUGAUGCCUCUGACAAAGAAGAUGGACCAGCUAAAAGAACUAAAAUUGAUUUUUUGGCUCCUCUGGAAGACUUAGAGAAACAAAGAGCAUUGCUGAAAGCUGAACUUGAAAAUGAAUUAAUGGAAGGAAAAGUCCAGUCUGGAAUGGGAUUAAUAUUACAAGGUUAUGAGUCAGGAUCUGAAGAAGAGGGAGAGAUUAAUGAAAAAGCACGAAAUGGAACAAGGCCUACAACGAAGUCAAAUACUAAGGGGAAAUUAGAACCUGUGGACAAUAAAACUAGUUCCAAGAAAGCAAGUAAGAGUGAAUCAAAAGAAAGGACUAGGCACAGAUCUGACAAAAAGAAAGCUAAGGCAGGAGUUGAUGGGGUCAAAGAGAAGACUACUAGAAGCAAGUCAAAGGAAAGGAGGAAAUCCAAAAGUCCUUAUAAGAGAAGUAAGUCUCAAGAUCAGACAAGGAAAUCUAGGUCUCCAAUACUUAAGAGGAGAUCUCAGGAGAAAAACAGAAAGUCUAAGUCUCCUCCGGAGGAGAGAAAUAAGGCUGAUGAUAAAAGCAAAUCAAGGGACCGCAGAAAGUCUCCAGUUGUGAAUGAAAGCAAAAGCAGAGAUCGUGGUAGAAAAUCUAAAUCUCCAGCAGAACUAAGAAGCAAAUCCAAAGAUAGAAGAUCACGGUCCAAAGAUAGAAAACCUAGGAGAUCAGAGACUGACAAAGAAAAAAAGCCAAUUAAAUCUCCUUCUAAAGAUGCUUCUUCAGGGAAAGAAAACAGGUCCCCUAGACGACCUGGCCGUAGCCCAAAAGGGAGAAGCUUAUCUCCCAAACAGCGUGAAAAGUCAAGAAGAAGCAGAUCCCCUCUCUUUAAUGAUCGUAGAUCCAAACAGAGUAGAUCCCCCUCUCGAACCCGGUCUCCAGUUAGAAGAGUGAGGAGUAGAUCUGCAGAAAGAAAAAGAAGAGAAUCAGAAAGGAGGCGUCUGUCUUCUCCCAGAACACGGACCAGGGAUGACAUUUUGUCUAGACGUGAAAGAUCCAAGGAUGUCAGCCCACCCAGCAGAUGGUCCCCAUCCAGAAGAAGGUCUCGGUCCCCCAUUAGGAGGAGAUCUCGAACACCCCUUCGACGUAGCCGAUCUCCCAGAAGGCGGAGUAGAUCUCCUCGGAGGAGGGAUAGAGGCCGGAGAAGUAGAUCUCGCCUUCGAAGGAGAUCCAGGUCACGUGGUGGCCAUAGACGUAGGAGUAGAAGCAAAGUUAAAGAAGACAAGUUUAAAGGCAGUCUUUCUGAGGGCAUGAAAGCUGAACAGGAGUCUUCAUCAGAUGAAAAUCUUGAAGACUUUGAUUUGGAAGAAGAGGAUGAAGAAGCAGAAAUAAGACAAAGGAGAUUACAGCGGCAAGCAAUUGUUCAGAAAUACAAAGGCCAGACAGAGGACAGUAACAUAUCUGUACCAUCUGAACCAAGCAGCCCUCAAAGCAGUACACGCAGUCGCUCAAAUUCUCCUGAUGACAUUCUAGAAAGAGUUGCUGCUGAUGUUAAGGAGUAUGAACGGGAAAAUGUGGAUACAUUUGAGGCGUCAGUGAAAGCCAAGCACAACCUCAUGACAGUUGAACAGAACAAUGGUUCAUCUCAGAAGAAGCUGCUAGCACCUGAUAUGUUCACAGAAUCAGAUGAUAUGUUCGCUGCAUACUUUGAUAGUGCUCGUUUAAGGGCUGCUGGGUUUGGAAAAGACUUCAAAGAAAACCCCAAUCUCAGGGAUAACUGGACAGACGCAGAAGGCUAUUACCGUGUUAAUAUAGGUGAAGUUCUAGAUAAACGUUACAAUGUCUAUGGUUACACUGGUCAGGGAGUCUUCAGCAACGUAGUGCGAGCCAGAGAUAUGGCCAGAGCAAACCAAGAAGUAGCCGUGAAAAUCAUCAGGAACAAUGAACUUAUGCAAAAAACUGGCCUAAAAGAACUGGAAUUUUUAAAGAAGCUAAAUGAUGCUGAUCCUGAUGACAAGUUUCAUUGUCUACGGUUGUUCAGGCAUUUCUACCACAAACAACAUCUCUGUCUGGUAUUUGAGCCACUCAGUAUGAAUUUACGAGAAGUGUUGAAGAAGUAUGGGAAAGAUGUUGGACUCCACAUUAAAGCUGUCCGUUCCUACAGCCAGCAAUUGUUCCUGGCUUUAAAACUUCUUAAAAGAUGCAAUAUCCUACAUGCAGAUAUUAAACCAGAUAAUAUUUUGGUGAACGAGUCUAAAACAAUACUAAAGCUUUGUGAUUUUGGCUCAGCUUCACAUGUCGCAGAUAAUGACAUCACACCCUAUCUAGUUAGUAGAUUUUAUCGAGCUCCAGAAAUCAUUAUAGGAAAGAUCUAUGACUAUGGUAUAGAUAUGUGGUCUGUAGGCUGCACAUUAUAUGAGCUUUAUACAGGAAAAAUACUGUUUCCUGGCAAAACCAAUAAUCAUAUGUUGAAACUUGCCAUGGAUCUCAAAGGAAAGAUGCCAAACAAGAUGAUUCGAAAAGGUGUGUUCAAAGAUCAGCACUUUGAUCAAAAUCUCAACUUUAUGUAUAUAGAAGUAGAUAAAGUGACGGAAAGGGAGAAAGUUACUGUAAUGAGCACCAUUAAUCCAACCAAGGACCUAUUAGCAGAUUUGAUUGGGUGCCAACGACUCCCUGAAGACCAGCGUAAAAAAGUGCACCAGCUUAAGGACUUGUUGGACCAGAUUCUAAUGCUAGACCCAGCUAAACGGAUUAGCAUCAACCAGGCUCUGCAGCACGCCUUCAUCCAGGAGAAAAUUUAAACCAGAUGAAGAAGUUCAAAGGGUUUGAUUAAUUAAGAUACAAAGACUGAAGAAAUUUCACAGCAGUUAUUAAUGUGUGUGUGUGCAGGCCACAGCAGCAUGCCCUUGGUGUAGUCAGUGCCGAAGGGGGUCUGUUCCUUCUUGAGCCUGCCCGCAGGGAUGGUCUCCUCUUUUAAAGCAGGUUGUGUACAACUUUCAGUACACUGAAGGUAAGCUAACCCAUCAACAUCACCGGUGUUUAAGCUGUUAUUUUACUGGAACAACUGACAAAUGAGAGACAAUAGCAUUGUGGCAGAAUUCCCUGCAUGUUUGAGAAAUGAUCGUUUUAUUUUCUGGCAUUGCAACCGUGGCAUAGUUACAACUUCUGUUCUGUUCAUCACAUUUAAAACUGGGAGAGAGCGCACUUGAUGGAUAGAGCGCCUUCAGUGUACUGUUUCUUAUUACUUUAGUUUUUUUAAUCAACUUGCUAUAGACUUUGUAUACAUUUUGUUAAAUACAGUUCACUAUGACAUAGAACCAAUACUUACAGAAGAGUUUUCAUUUAGUAAUUACAUAUGUUGGGAUCUCAUUCGAAAGACCUUAUAUCUAAAGGAUAGAUAGACAACAUAAUGAAAUUUUUAACUAUUUGUAUGUCAUUUUGAAAGUGUACUGCUUUAUGCUAAAAGUGUUUCAUUUGUUCAUUGUUUUCAUUAUUUGUGAUCAUGUUGUCUUUCAAUACAGGCAUAAACCUUCCACUCUUGAACAAAGCAGCUGCUUUUUAAAAGCGAGAAAAAAGGAAAGCGAGUCACAGGCCACUCAACGCCUACUCCAUGGGUCUGAUUUGCUGAGACACCAACUUCACCCUCCUAACAAGGUGCAGCUCAAAAGAAGAUGAAGGCUACCAGAAGACAUGAACAAAGGUUUCUGUCCUAUAAAAGAUAUGAAAAAUACUCUUCAUGUAGUUCUGUCUUAAUCUUUUAGUUUCCAGCAUUUCAGUUUAGAAUUGAUUAACACUGCUGCAUUACUGAUAAUUCAUGAAACAUAUUUGCUGUAUUAAAAUUUGUUACAUAGAUUGUUUUGUUUCUGGUUGAAGAGGGUUUUUUUUAAUUGUAAUAAAAUGUAGGUAAACUAGCAUUACUCUUAAAAUGUAGUUUUCUUAAAAUGAUAGAAUGAGCAGUACAAAAUCUAUUACAUUUAGGAAAAAAAAUGAACCAUUAUAUUUGGUUAAAAUAAAUGUGUUAACCAGUAAACAUUUAAGCAGGUGAUGCACUUUUUUCUUUAACAUCAGUAGGUUCAUUAUUUGUUUCAAUUCUGUCAAACUUAAUUAUCUGUACAGAGAAUGGAUGGCAGGAGUUAAUCUUAAAAAGUGGAUUUCAGUCCCCCAUCCAGCUGAUACUUCUUGUUGACAACAGUAGAAAACUCUUCAGUUCUGGCUUCAAAAACCUCUGGACUUGAGGAUUUUGUGACACUGUUAAGGCCCCUCUCCAGUUUUGGGCAAUGCCUGUCCCUGUAGCCUGAGGUCUCCGAGGAGAGUAGCUGUGGCUGCCACUACAGUCAGCUGAAUUCUCAUGGUUGUGGCUGGGUGCAAGCAGAACAGCUGUGCAACACAAUGAACAGUUUCUCAGCUCAUCUGAUAGGGAGGAUAACUUAACUUUUCCUCCUGAGCACAAAUUUUUAAUGUUUGUCUUUUGCUAGAGGUCCUACAUACAGAAGGUUUGGCUAAGUCUAUUGUGCUGAUUUCUGUUUCCUCCUCCCUCAUGUUGACAAGGAGCUUCACAUUUAACACACUCAGUUUUCCAAGCCGUCAGAAAAGACAAGAUUCCAGCCCUGUGGAGUUAGAAUGUGUUUUUAUUACCUUGGUGUAUACUACUUAGUUUAAAAAUUAAUUACUGUUCAAGAGUUUUUAAUAGAAGAUAAUGAUUUCUUUAAAAUCUUCUUAAUAAUACUUUAUCUCCAUAUAUAGGGUAAGUGGCAUUAAACCUCUGAAGAACCUUUAUGUGUAUAUUGACCCCCAUACAGAAGGCAGACCAGACUGUGCUACUGCUGGAGAUAGAGGGAUCUUCUACAGCAUGUGUAAAAUUGUAAUGUGGGUGGAGGAUGUUGAGAAGUGGCAAUUGCUUGAAAUUAAUAAACUGUGCUUGAAACUUGUCUUCA